GGAAACCGUACUGGACGUUUGUUUAACUCUGAAUGAAUGAUGGACUGUCCUGCUGUAGCACCUGAGUCUGUCUUUUCUUUCAUGGUAUUUCUGUUCGUGCCAGUACAAGUUCAUAUGCAGCAAAGAUAUUAUAUAAAAUUGCCUACACGAAUAACAGCACUGAGCGGCUCUUGUAUGCAGAUACCUUGUACAUUUGACGCACCAGAGGACAUACUGAAAAACACAAAUACUAUAUUUGGCUGUUGGAUAAAGAAGAACCCUGCCGUUUUUA